UGCUGCCUUUCUCGCUGGAGAAGAGUUGCAAGCGGUUCUACAGUGUUCCAGUGUCUAGUUCUUUAACGUAUUUUGACAAAUCGAGUUGGAACUUUGAGCUCGUGCAGCUUUCAUUGUGAAAUUUCGUGCCGAAACAACUGUGUCCAACGUUGGAUUUGAACUAAAAAUGAUGGAGGACGAUGAUAAUUUCGGCGAGAAAAAUGGCUUUUUCAAGACGUAUCAUAUCAGCGUGUUGAGGAAGAUCCGCAAUGGCGACUUGGCCGCCCUGAAAGCCUGUUGCAAUGACGAGGAACGAUUAGUUUUCGUUCACAGUCUACCCUACGUCCAUGAGAUACCGCUAAUGUCAUCAGCGAUGGCCAAGUCGCUUCCAAAUGGCAAAUCGGCCAUCGACGCGCAAAAGAAGAGAACGGAAGGAAACGAAUUUUUCAAGAAGAAAAACUAUGAGCGCGCAGUACGGCUCUACUCGGAAGCCAUCUCCAAAGCGCCCAGCAUCGCUAAAGAUACGGAAGAACCCCAGCUAGCCAUGGCGUUCGCCAAUCGUUCGGCCGCCUUGUUCCAUCUGGACGCUUACGCUCGAGCGCUAGUCGAUAUUGAUCAAGCGUUGGCCAGCGGUUACCCUGAUGAAUUGCGCUACAAACUCGUCGAAAGGCAAGCUAAAUGUUUGAUGGCGCUGGGUAGGCCGACGGAUCAGAUCGCGGCAACGUGCGAAUCGGCCAUCAAGUGCGUGAAUGAUUCACGUUUGGAUCUGGUCAAACGUCAACAGUUUGAACGAGAUAUGAAACAAUUGAUUUCCGAAUCUGCAGUACCGAACCAAAUGAUUCCGGCUGUGAACAUAAAAUCAAUAAAAGAUAAGGAGAAAAAACAUCUGCCUGACAUCACAGCUGGUAGGAAUAUUGAACACCCUUCGUUUUCCAGCAAAAUUCGAAUAGAGGAGGACGCCAUUUCGGGAAGGUACGGCGUCGCUGAUUCGCCGAUCCGAGUUGGCGACGUGAUCGCUGUCGAUGAGCCUUACGCUUCUGUUAUGAAUCCCGAGAAAUUUGCAACGCACUGCCAUCACUGCUACCGGCCGUUGGAUCUUGGCGAGUUAUUACCGUGUCCAAACUGCACCAACGUGAAUUUCUGUUCUGUCACCUGCCGUUCUGAAGCGAUGGCCGGAUAUCACGCUAUCGAGUGCCCCCUUCUUAGUUACAUCGAAGCGGCUGGCAUCAGCAUUACAUGCUAUUUAUCGUUGCGAAUGAUUGCGAUUCAUCCGCCCAGCUUCUUCAUGGACGUCAAGCCAUUGAUCGAUAAACCUGAAUUACAGAAGGGCGUUGCCCUGAGUGAGCAGACGAAGAAGUACAUCAAGACUUGCCAAUUGGUCACUCACGAUCACAUCCGAAAUAAAGAAAGCUUCUUCCACGUGACACUGAUGGCCGAUUUCCUUUUAAAGUGUUUGAAAGUGGGCGGAUAUUUUGGAAAAAUCGAGCCGACCGAGUUUAACUUUACAGAACCCCUUUCAGACCAAGAGAAAUGGAUCGGUUCGUUGUUGCUAAGACAUCUUCAGCUGCUUCAAUUUAAUGCGCACGAAGUUUCCGAAUUGCGGAUGGAUCGUCCCGGCUGCAUGGAUGGAGCGAAAACUUUCUUUUUGGGAGCCGGUGUUUAUCCGACGGUGCUUUGUCGGCGAUGUGAUGAUCGUAAGAGCCAUCAAAAGUUUCCAACGCGGCGAGCUGGUCAACGAAAAUUACGGCCCAAUCUUCACGCAAAAACGUCGAGCCGAUCGGCAACGAUCGCUGAAAGAUCGAUACUGGUUCGAUUGUCGUUGCCUACCGUGUACGGAAGAUUGGCCGUUGAUCGGCGAAAUGACUGACGACACCCUUCGUUUCCGUUGCCGCGAUCCUGUUUGCCGAAAGCCGCUGGUCGUUGCCGCUGACACUAUGACGCCGUUCAUCGCGUGUCCUUCGUGUAAGAAGAGCAACAAUAUUCUCAAGAGUCUGCAAAAUCUGCAAGAUACGGAAGGGUCGUUCGUUCGCGGAAGCGAGCUCAUGGACCAAGGCAAUUUCACCGGCGCGUUAAAAUGCUGCCUCGAAACGAUGGCCAAGUUGGACGAUAUUCUCUGCGCGCC
rnacentral:misc_RNA from 1 species